CUCAAUUAGCUCCCUCAAAUGGCUAUUUUCCACUUGAUCUAAGCUGCACUCUGAGGUUAUAGCCACAGAGCUCUCUACCACUACAAUAAUAGGACUAUUUUGGCAUCAUUCCUUUUAGAUUUGAUUACUUUUUCCUUCAGCCAUUAGCAAAUGCUUUUUCCUAGCUAAAUCCUGAUUCAUGUUCAACAGCUUCCUUCUUUUUUUUUCCCUUUUUUUUUUUUUUUUUUUUUUGGUUCUCUUUGGUGUUCCUGACACCUCCUAGUGAAGUGUCAAUUGAAAGUUUAAUUAACACAUCCUCUGUCUUCUUAUUUCAUACGAGUAAUGAAAAUACUGAAUAAAUGCAGAGCCACUAUCAAUCCCACUGGUACCCCAGCUCCUUCCAUUAGCCAGGUUUGACUUCAUAGAGUAUUCUGCAUGUGGUAUUUUGUUUAAAUCCCUGAGACACUCUUUUGCUCUUUUGACCUUGUAACAGAAUAUGCAUAUAGGUUGAUUUUUUAUUUUUUUUUCCCCAGGUGAAAUCACUGUAGGCCCUGGCUUUGGGUUUUAGCCCAGAACUGCCACUCGGGUAUGUGGACUGGAAUGAACUCCAUCCACAAACACUGAGCAGAGAAUCCCUUGGGUACAAGGAAAUUCCCAACCAACAUAAACCUGGCAGGAGCAGACACUGUCUCAGCCACCUGCACUUAUGUGGGUCUUAGGAGCAAGAGAGCAGAGAGGAAAGUGCAAUGCUGAGCGGAUCUCUCGUAUACUUCCUCAGCUGGCACAGAGAAAGGAUAAAUGCAUUAACUACCUAUUGCACUUAACUCUAUCUGACCAUAACAGUCCUCAGCACACAAAGCUGUCUGCCUCAGAAGCUGGGAUAGCAAGACAUGAAACCCUGAAUCCCUUGUGGUACUCAUUUUGCACACUACUGUACAGCUCCUACAUUUCUGUGAUUUGCAUUUCCCUGUGAAGCAGCCAAAUGAAUUAACAUUAAAGAUGGAGACUGAAAGAACGAUAUUCUCGUUAAAGAAGCUCUCUCUUUCAAAAAUCAAUGAGAUAAUAUCCUUUUAAAGCUAUUCCCAACUGUUGUCUCUCCUGAUUUGGCUCUAUGGGAGUUGGAAGUAUUGGGGAGAUUAAUGACAGAUUUAACAACAGAGAGGUUCACCUUAUUUCGAUCUGGUAUGGUUAAUGUCCUCUAAUGCUUUGUCCAUGCUGUGAAACCAGAGGAGAGGCCAUCUCAAUGCUUUUAUUUGUUCAGGUGAAGUGCUGGGUAACUGUGACUUUCUGGAUUACUAUAGGGGAGUGACUAGGCAGCUGACAGAAAGUCGAUGGCACCAUGGAAAAACAUCUCACCUCCAGGAGGCUUGCCACCACUUUCUCCUAGCCAGCAGGGAGCAGCCUGAGCUCACCUCGCCAGCAAGAGCCAGAACACUCCUCCUGAUUAGUCCUGGAAGAGCUGGCCAGGAUGUACUCAUAUCAUUUCAG
rnacentral:lncRNA from 1 species